AAGUCGUAACAAGGUCUCCGUUGGUGAACCAGCGGAGGGAUCAUUACUGAGUUACCGCUCUACAACCCUUUGUGAACAUACCUUUAACCGUUGCUUCGGCGGGUAGGCCGUCCCCUGAAAAGGACGCCUCCCGGCCCGGCCCGGCCGCCCCUCGGGGCGGGCGGACUCGGCGCCCGCCGGAGGAUAACCAAACUCUAUUUUAACGACGUUUCUUCUGAGUGGCAUAAGCAAAAUAAUCAAAACUUUUAACAACGGAUCUCUUGGUUCUG
rnacentral:misc_RNA from 1 species